AUCUAGCUGAAGAGUCCUGAAUAGGACGAAACGCGCCUGGAU
rnacentral:hammerhead_ribozyme from 1 species